GACGAACGCUGGCGGCGUGCUUAACACAUGCAAGUCGAACGGAAAGGCCCUGCUUUUGUGGGGUGCUCGAGUGGCGAACGGGUGAGUAACACGUGAGUAACCUGCCCUUGACUUUGGGAUAACUUCAGGAAACUGGGGCUAAUACCGGAUAGGAGCUCCUGCUGCAUGGUGGGGGUUGGAAAGUUUCGGCGGUUGGGGAUGGACUCGCGGCUUAUCAGCUUGUUGGUGGGGUAGUGGCUUACCAAGGCUUUGACGGGUAGCCGGCCUGAGAGGGUGACCGGCCACAUUGGGACUGAGAUACGGCCCAGACUCCUACGGGAGGCAGCAGUGGGGAAUAUUCCACAAUGGGCGGAAGCCUGAUGCAGCAACGCCGCGUGCGGGAUGACGGCCUUCGGGUGGUAAACCGCUUUCGCCUGUGACGAAGCGUGAGUGACGGUAAUGGGUAAAGAAGCACCGGCUAACUACGU
rnacentral:rRNA from 1 species